rnacentral:lncRNA from 1 species
CCAAGUUUUCUGCCUCAGGAAGACUAUUGAUCUGUAGGAUAAGCAGACUUAGAAGAAAUGCCUGCUGGUGCAGCCUGAUGGACCCUGGUCAAGCCCCGCCACGAUGAGCUGUUCUCAUCAGGGACUCUCAUGCAGGCAGCAUAAGCUGCAGGUCCAGACUUCAGUUCACUCAAUUGCACCGCCAGUUCCUUCUCCAAUAGCUGGGUCCUCUCUGUGGAAGUGAUCUUAUAAAUUUCAUCCAUGUUUUGCAUUUGCUCUUUUUCCGUAUCCCUGAAAAAGGAGGCAUAAAGCUUGUGGCUG